CCGGGUGACGAUACCAAGGCGGGAACCACCCGGUCCCAUCCCGAACCCGGCCGUUAAGCCGCCUUGGGCCGAUGGUAGUGAGGGGCUCCCCCUCGCAAGAGUAGGUAUCGCCCGGG
rfam:Thermosipho melanesiensis BI429, complete genome.